AGGUACAGAGUGGCAAGGGGUUUGUGAGCAAGUGAUCGUGGGGUCUGGCCACUGCACACAGCCAGGCACGCCAGCUGCUGCGGCAGGGCAUGCAGCUCCAGGAACCGGCACCGGCACCAGCUCCUUGCGAGGCUGCAGCUGGACCAGGUGUACCACAGGCGGCUUCCGCUGCAAGUACCAGGGUCUGGAUGAGGGGAACACAGUGGCACCCAAAAACCUGAGUGAGACGCCAGCAACCACAGAGGCCAAAGAGACUUCUUAAAGCUAAUUUCCAACUCUUCCUGCCUGCAAUGAAGAGCAAGAAGUGAUUAAACUGUUCAAUUGCACAAUCAACUGACAAACAACAAUCUACAUGACACCUUCAAGAAAGGGAUUAAUCUCCACAUGGCACAAAGAUACCAUCAAGGAUACAACAUACAUGAAGUUGUCACAUCUCUUUAAGCUCAUCUUAGCAGCCACUAUUCCUCAGAACUUUCUUUGGCUUUGAUGACCUUUUCAGUUUUUGAGAAGUAUUGGUCAGGUAUAUUUUAGACUGCUAUUCUAUCAGAAUUUGUCUUGUUUUCCUCAUGACUAGACUGAGGUGAUGGAUUUGGCAGGUGGAGAUGAAAUUGCUGAAAUUAUUCCAGUUUUGGUCUUUGGGAGCUCGUGCAGAUGGUUCCUAUGCCACUUUGACAUAGUUCCAUCAAUGUAUUUUUUUCUUUCCUUUAGCACUUCUUUACUUUCGGGUACUGUAAGACACCCUAAACUCAUCUUGUAUAUUUUCUGCCUCAGUCCUAGAAUCUGCCAUUUUGCCAAGGAACGCUUGUUCAUCUUAUUGGAUAAUGAUGUUAGAAAUCAAGAUUUGGGUACUAAACGUGCUUUUGCUACUGGGAUGUUGCUUCUUUUAGUUUCUCUUAGCCAAUGAAGCAAAGGAAUAUACAAUAUAAGUGUUUGCUAACCUGAGUGUGUAUACACACCUAUAAAUACUUCUGUAUUUAACCAUCUGCCUCUAUUUUAGUUAAACAUGAAUUCUUAAUAAUAUCUCCAACUCUAACCCAUUAUAGCAUGGAUCAAUAUAGCUCCUCCUGUUGCUGAUCUGUAAAUUUCCACUCCAGCAGUCAGAAAUCAGGUUCGCAUUUGCCAUUCAUUUCUUAAUUGUUCAAUGCCAGUACACAUGUACAGUAUCAUCAAAAUUGUUAAACUGUCCUCGUAAAAGAAACUUUAUUAGAGUGCUUAUGUGCAGCGUCUUUUUCUUUAGUUAUGUAGACUCUAUUUUCAGUUACUUCCGUCAGCCCCUUUCCCUCACCACCUUUGUUAGAAUAUUUCAUUUGUAAUACAGUGAAAUCCUCAUGUUUGUCAUAAUCUGCAUUCUUUCCUAGGAUACCCUGACUUCCUGCAUAACUUUUUAAAAUUGGCAAAUAUUAUGGUUUAUUCUUUUUGUAGUAAAGUUCUACAGGAUUUGAUAAAUGCAUAACGUCAUGCAUCCACCAUUAAAGAAUCAUAAAGAAUAGUUUCACUAUCCUAGAAUUCCCUUGUAUUUCAUUUAUUUGGUCCUCCUCUCUUCUCCAACCACCAAACUUUUUACUAUCUCUAUAUAGUUUUGCCUUUUUCAGAAUUUCAUAUAAUUGUAAUUAUACAAUAUGUAGUCCUUUGACUGGCUUUUUUCACUUAGUAAUAUGCAUUUAAAGCUCCUCCAUUACUUUGUGUGGCUGAAUAGCUAAUUUAUUUUUUACAUAUCAGCAGAUAUAGCAAAUACGCAAAUAUGUUAAAGGUGACUAAUAAUAAUAUAGCCCAUGAUACUCUAUUAAACAAUUUAUUUCUCUUCUUUAUAAACUCAGAGUUUGCGGAUUAUUUCUCUAUUAUUUCUCCCCAAGUCAGAAUUACUUUUUAGAGCUCUAUAUUGUCCUGGAAUUAAGGGAAGGUCACCUGCUUUUAUUUCUGUCUUAGUCAAGAUUACCCGGGAUGCUUGGAGUAACAACCUCAAAAUCUCAAUGGUUUCAUUUCUUGCUUCUGCUACUUGUCCUUCAAGGGCCAAUGCAUAGUUCUACCUUUUAUUGUUAUUAUCUUUUCUGUGGUGCU
rnacentral:lncRNA from 1 species